UUCAAAAUUGACGUUUUGGUAUCAUUGGAUUCGUAUUUUCAAGGAGAAUAUAAUUUAAUUGAGAUCAAUAUGACGUCGAAAAAACGAGCACAUGCAAUGGUCAAUUUGGUUAAAAAUCCUUGUCAACAUGCACAAUAUAAUAAACUGUUUGAAGAUAAUUCCCCUGUGAAAAGUGAUGAGUUUAUGGCAUCUUUUAUUAAAGAUAAUGACAUCAAAAAUACUACAGCUAAAGUUUCCUGUUUUAAUAUAGACAUUGAAGGAGUUGAAAAGUUUGACAUUUUACAAAAUG
rnacentral:lncRNA from 1 species